GUCACAGUUUAUGCCAGGCUGCAGUUGUUAGGUUUGGUAAAGCCGGGUAUUGGAAAUAAAUCCAGGGGAUGUUGAUCUUGCUUCGUACUACUGACCUCUGGAGGGGCUGCUACAGUU